GCUCCCGUAGCUGUUACAAUGGCGGUCUUUCCACCAGUCUCGGUUAGAGCCCGGGCGGGAGUU
rnacentral:tRNA from 1 species